UUGAGAGNUGUGCGUACGGGUGCGGAACACGUGUGCACUGCCUUUAUCUGGGGGAUAGCCUUUCGAAAGGAAGAUAAUACCCCAUAAUAUGUUGAAUGGUCAUUCGACAUUGAAACUCCGGUGGAUAGAGAUGGGACGCGCAAGAUUAGAUAGUUUGGUGAGGUAACGGUCACCAAGUCUACGAUCUUUAGGGGCCUGAAGGGUGAUCCCCCAACUGGUACUGAGACACGGACCAGACUCCUACGGGAGUGCACGCAGUGAGGAAUAUUUGGACAAUGGGUGAGAGCCUGAUCCAGCACAUCCCGCGUGAAGGACGACUGCCCUAUGGGUUGUNACACUUCUNUUGUAUAGGGAUAAACUAACCCUCGUGACGGGUAGCUGAAGGUACUAUUACGAAUAAAGCACCGGCUAACUCCCGUGCAAAGAAGCCGCGGUAAUACGGAGGGGUGCAAGCGUUAAUCCCCGGGGGAAUUNUAAUUAUGGGGGUUAUAAAAAAGGGGGGUUCCCAGGUAAAGGGCGGCAUUACACUGGUCAAAAGUUACCAAAGUUGGGGUUGGGAAAAUACUUCUACAACAAAGGUUUUAAAANUUUGGGUGGGAA
rnacentral:rRNA from 1 species